rnacentral:lncRNA from 1 species
ACGCAAUGGGCGGGACUUCCGGCGUCUCGUUUGGUAUUCACUUUCGCGACUCAGGUGAACUAACCUGCGAGAAGCUGGUUGUGCGCUGAGGCGACCAGCGCCGGAAGGCACGGUGGCGACUCACGCUGUUCUCGCCGCUCAGAGGCGGGUCUGAGGCUCGGUGGCGGCGCCCAGGGUGGCCCGGGCCCUUUCCUCGGUCAUUGUCUCCCCUCCAGCUCUACUCACAGGCUCCGAUGGCGGCGGCCGCCCUGAGGGACCCCGCUCAGUCUUGAUUUUCCAUAGGUUCCUGUGGCUGCAGACUUGCUUACAGACCAUGAGGAGCAGGGCUAUGUGACCUUUGAGGAUGUGGCUGUCUACUUCUCCCAGGAGGAAUGGAGAUUGCUUGAUGACGCUCAGAGGCUCCUCUACCGCAAUGUGAUGCUGGAGAACUUUACACUUCUGGCCUCUCUGGGUUGUUGGCAUGGAGCCGAGGCUGAGGAGGCUCCUGAGCAGAUUGCUUCUGUAGGACUGCUCAGUUCAAACAUUCAGCAACACCAGAAGCAGCACUGUGGAGAGAAACCCUUAAAA